GACGUAGGGCGCAAGCGUUGUCCGGAAUUAUUGGGCGUAAAGAGCUCGUAGGCGGCUUGUUGCGUCGACUGUGAAAAACCACGACUCAACCGUGGGACUGCAGUCGAUACGGGCAGGCUAGAGUUCGGUAGGGGAGACUGGAAUUCCUGGUGUAGCGGUGAAAUGCGCAGAUAUCAGGAGGAACACCGGUGGCGAAGGCGGGUCUCUGGGCCGAUACUGACGCUGAGGAGCGAAAGCGUGGGGGAGCGAACAGG
rnacentral:rRNA from 1 species